GAUGAACGCUGGCGGCGUGCUUAACACAUGCAAGUCGAACGGAAAGGCCCCUUUGUGGGUACUCGAGUGGCGACCGGGUGAGUAACACGUGAGUAACCUGACCUUGACUUUGGGACUACUUCAGGUUACUGGGGCUAAUACCGGAAAGGAAUCAUUGAUGCAAGGUGGGGGUUGGAUAGCUUCGGCGGUUUUGGAUGGACUCGCUGCUUAUCAGCUUGUUGGUGGGGUAGUGGCUUACCAAGGCUUUGACGGGUAGCCGGCCUGAGAGGGCGACCGGCCACAUGGGGACUGAGAGACGGCCCAGAAUCCUACGGGAGGCAGCAGUGGGGAAUAUUGCACAAUGGGCGGGAGCCUGAUGCAGCAACGCCGCGUGCGGGAUAACGGCCUUCGGGUUGUAAACCGAUUUCAGCGGAGGCGAAGCUUUUGUGACGGUACCUGCAGAAGAAGCACCGGCUAACUACGUG
rnacentral:rRNA from 1 species